AGCGAGAGCGCUGCGCACUGGGGAAGUCACUCGAUGGACACAACGGACUACGACAGACUCAGCUCCACACACUCUCCCUCCUGGAACUUGUUGUCAGCGAAGUUGUCGGGGUUUUUUUUAUCAGGCGGUUGAAUUUGCUGUUCGGGCGCGUGUUGCUGGCGCGUGCGUGCGCGCGUGUGUGUGUGUGUUGUAGACGUUGGUGAGCAGCAGCAGCAGCAGUCGACCACUGUCACUUUUGAUUAAUGGACUCAACACGGACUUCAGCUAAACGCGUUUCUGCCAAGAGGCUCAGACGAGGUUGACUUCAUUCAUUCGCUGUCCAGAUUAAAGGAACAUGAAGUUGUCUUUGGACAGCAUGGACGUCCUGAAGAUUGUGCUGUUCGUCUUCGAGGCUGCCCUACUGACAGAUUGCGCGAGAGGACCUCCACGGGUGUCAGACAAGGUUGCUCACAGACAGUCGGCUCGCCUUGGGAGUGCCAUUAAGCUACCAUGUCCGGUGGAAGGAGAUCCUCCACCCCUAAUUAUGUGGACCAAAGAUGGGCGCAACAUCCACAGUGGCUGGAUCCGUUUCCGUAUCCUUCGCAUGGGCCUGAAGAUCAAGGAGGUGGAGGCAGAGGACACGGGCACUUACAUCUGCAAAGCUACCAACGGCUUUGGUAGUGUCAACGUCAACUUCACCCUCAUCGUCAUUGACGACGGCGGUUCUGAUAAAACUGGACCUGGAGCAGAGUCUGAGCUGGGCGUCGAUGGCUUGACAGACAAAUUUGUACGCCCUCGCUUCACUCAGCCUGCUAAGAUGAGGAAGAGGGUGAUCGCUCGUCCUGUCGGCAGCUCAGUGCGGCUCAAAUGCGCGGCCAGUGGAAACCCUCGGCCGGACAUCGCGUGGCUGAAGGACGACAGGCCGCUGACGGGGCGGGAGGUCGGCGAGGGGCGGCAGAAAAAGUGGACGCUGAGUCUGAGGAACCUGGCGCCGGAGAACAGCGGCAGAUACACCUGCAGGGUCUCCAAUCGGGCUGGAGAAAUCAAUGCCACGUACAAAGUUGAGGUCAUACAAAGGACGAACUCCAAGCCGGUUUUGACAGGCACCCACCCCGUCAACACGACAGUGGACUACGGGGGCACCACGUCGUUCCAGUGCAAAGUGAGGAGCGACGUUAAGCCCGUGAUUCAGUGGCUCAAGCGCUUGGAGACGAACGAGGAGAACCGCUACAACUCCACCAUCGAGGUGGGGGACCACCGGUUUACGGUGCUGCCCACGGGGGAGGUGUGGUCGAGGCCCGAUGGCUCCUACCUCAACAAGCUGCUUAUCACGCGCGCCAAAGAGGAGGACGCCGGCAUGUACAUCUGCUUAGGCGCCAACACCAUGGGCUACAGCUUCCGCAGCGCCUUCCUCACUGUGCUGCCAGACACAAAGCCACCCGUCCCACCCGUCUUCUCGCCAGCCUCCAGCUCCCUGCCCUGGCCUGUCAUCAUUGGCAUUCCCGCUGGAAUCGUGUUCAUCUUUGGCACAGUGCUGCUGUGGUUCUGCCAGAGCAGAAAACACUGUCCUCCUCCCAGCGCUCCCGCCACAGCAGCAGCAGCAGCAGCAGCAGCACAGGUUCUGCAGAGCUCUCACCGGCUGCCGUAUCGAGAGCGGGACAGAGGCUGCGUGGCUUCUUCUUCCUCGAGCCCGGAGAAAGACUGCGUGAGCUCCAUGAACUAUGAGGAGUACCUGGCACAGCAGCAGCUACUCCUCAACCAGGGAGGACCAACAAUACCCCCUAAAAUCUACCCCAAAAUCUACACAGACAUUCACACGCACACUCACUCUCAUGUGGACGGGAAAGUGCACCAGCAUCAACACAUCCAUUUUCAGUGUUAGCCUCAGUGCCGACUACUUUCCAUUAACUGCUCCGGUAUCGCAGAGGGAGUUUGCAUUGUAGACAGAACAGCAGUGUCAAAUACCUGGCAUUACUCCUAAUAAUAAUACUGAUAAUAAUAAUAAUGAUAAUACAAAGGGACUCUGAAACAGUGGCCAGUGACACACCUCGUGUUCUUGAAUCCUGUCUUCCAUAUAUGGUGCUUUUUCACCGUCAGAUCGUCUCACCACUAAAACCCAUUAAUCCUUGUUGUGCACAUGAGACGAAAAAAAAAAAGAGGACAAGGAGAUCUUGAGCUUGUGAGUUGAACUGCGGCUGUUAAGACCGACUGGAAGGUCUACCUCCUGAGCAGCUGAUUUUCUAUUUUAUUUUUUGCAUUUUUCUACUUGAGGUGUGGCAGAAAAUGGGAGGUUUUUACCCUUUCACGUCAUCGGCCGUUGGAGCGCAGGAGGUUUUUGUAAGUCCUGCGUGGCGAUGAAGAUAAAUGGUACUCGAGAUUUACAAAAGGGCUGGUUUUAUGCUCCUACUCAGGUAUUCCUUUUGUUAUUGUUUAAGAUGCAUAAUGUUUUGGAUUGCUGACCACUAUCCUUUAUGUUACCAUUCUCCACCCCUCACUUCUGCACCAUGUUAAAGGUGACAUGUUGAUAGCCCGUUUGUGGCGUGCGAAACACGCCUAAAGACUGCAUUGGGACAAAAAGACCUGUGACUGUCAUUUAGCCCCGUAGGUCGGCUCCCAUCACUCGUCAGUAGCAUGUUGAGAUGGACCAGCAGAGGAUGAGUCUGCUGCUUUGACCGCCGCAGUAUCCACCCCACAGUAUAUGAAGCUGUAGUCAUUCAUAAUCAAAGUGAAGUGUCUGCCGAGGGUGACACAGGGCAGCCAGCAGCGGGACAGAAGUUACCUGGGGAUGAAUGACUGAAUAGAUUCAGUGGAGACACAAGGGCAGCCUCACAGUCCUUUUUAGAUGAGUGAUGGCCCCUGCAAGACUACACCCAAAGACCAGCAUCUUUUCUCCAUUUAAGUGAAUCAACCCUCUCUGCAUUCAACUCUGAUCUAGGUAGGAUUUCCUUUCACCAUUUAGCAGCGUAUUGUCCUGCUCUGGGAGUGAUUUGACAGGAGCCUGCGUUUGCUCAGGAAAGAAGGGGAGCAUUGUAUUGGACAAGCUCCUGUUCUUUUGGAAACAUUGCUGAAUGAGGAUGAGCUGUGGCGAAGUGUAUCGCGUGUUUAAAACGACGCAGAACAAAACAUUUUAUACUUCAGCCGUGU